AGGAAACUAGGGGCGUAAUACCGGAUAGGAGCUCCUGCUGCAUGGUGGGGGUUGGGAAAGUUUCGGCGGUUGGGGAUGGACUCGCGGCUUAUCAGCUUGUUGGUGGGGUAGGUGGCUUACCAAGGCUUUGACGGGUAGCCGGCCUGAGAGGGUGACCGGCCACAUUGGGACUGAGAUACGGCCCAG
rnacentral:rRNA from 1 species